AAAUGGAACACCCUAUAUAUUUUGCAUAUUCUUGUAGCUUACCUCGAGAGCUUUCCAAAACACUGUAAUAACAUGUUUUUUCGUAAAGUACUUUUUGAGUUACAAUGCUUGAAAGUAACAGUACCCCGCCGGCAUUAGUAUUGCCCAAGGUAUACCACGUGGAGGUUGCGCGGAUCGGAACUGCACCCACAACAGCCGACAUUAUUCUGUGCAUAAGACUAUUAAGAAAAGAUAAUCAAAGAAUGAAUAUUUUAUAAUUUAUGUCAAAAUAUUGGAACCAUCAAGCUUUACAGCUCAAAAAGUUUCUUGAUAAAAAAAUAUUUUAUUACAGUGUUUUGGAAAGCUCUUGAGGUAAGCUACAAGAAUAUGCAAAAAUAUAUAGGGUGUUCCAUUUAAGAAAUUAAACGUGACCUUCGUGUGACCCUCAAAUAACUCUUCAAGGCCAAACCAAUGGUACCCUAUUACGGUCCCCUCGAAACCAUACAACAUUUUGCCUUAAACUUAUGGAUUUUGAGAGAUUUCAGGGCGUAGAUUAAAAUGGUCUACCCUGUAUAUAAAUUAUAAUAGUCAUAACUUAUACAUGAAUUGUUAACCGCAACAUCUAUUGCCGUGUUAGAUUUUUGUAUUUGAGUCGCUCUUACGUUAACAAUUCAUUAGUACAAGGAUGAAAGGUUUAUAAAUGAACACGUCGCGAUAAAGUUUGUUCUCAUUGAAUUUUUAUAUUUAAUAAUUAUUUACUUUCCAAUAGGUAUUUAUGGGAUCUCAGGAACAUAUUUUCAGUUAUUUAUAUUUUAUUGUUUAUUACAUAUGGUGAAUGUGAAUCUCGAUAUGUAAAAGUGCAUUACUGAAACUAUGAAAUUACUUGGAUUGAUAUUAACAAGAAGUGAUGUGUAAUGAUCUUGAAAUGAAGCACGCGUUAAAUUGAGAUAAUCGCUUGUUUAGAGCAGAAUAAAAAGUCAUGCGUGUACUUAUGAUAUCAUUUAAAAUUCAUGGCUUUUAGAGCAUUUAUUUAAGUAUUCUUUUGUCGUGUACUGUAUUUAAGCAAUGUGAACAUUGUUAGAAACUUGUGCAGUAAUUUAGCAACCCGAAGAUACUCGAGAGAAUUAUACAUUCUAGGCACAUAUGAACUGUACAGUUGAGUGUAAGAUUAUUUAACUUGUAUUUGCAAAGGCAUGAUUUUCAUAGACAUUUGCGUUUAUAGCUUUCCGUCGAUCUUUCGAUAUAUCUAGUUUGCAUAACUCUCUUGAAGAGAAUACACCUAUGAUAAGGUAUCCUGAUCAUUUGGAAAGCAUAGUUUGUGUAAAAUAUUACGUGAAGUGCAAUAAUAAUCAUUAUAUGUAUUACCGAUAGUUCUGAAAAUAUCAUCCCUUCGAACGUGCAGGAUUCAUUGCGAUGACGAAAGAUAUUUUUCCGACGUACGGUCGUACUGUUUUACACUUUCUUUCCCUUACCGUUUAUUUACCAGACUGCGUGUUCGACGGGCUGGAUUUUUAGAUGUACACUCUUCUCAAAAUUGAUCUCUCACCUCUUUUGAAAUCUUAGCCCUUCUAUAUAGCUAAUAACAUUGUUGACUAGUAGCGUGGCGUGACGAUGCACAUGUCCAUCGAGAAGGGCUAAGGCAAUAACAAACAGUCUAAAAUCUUUACCGUGUAAGAGAGAAACAACGUGAUCGUGCUUUUGAUUUCGCCUGUGAAAUCGGAGGAAGCGGGAUGCACAUCGUAAACUCGGCAGAAUGUAAUGCUAUCAAAAAGUAUCUACUACACUAAAGCUGUAAAGGAAUAAAAACCUGUAUUAAGAUGUGGGUAUUGAUAACUAGCUGUUGUAUUAUUGUACUUAUACAUACAUAUAUAUAUAUAAAUAUAAAUAAUAUAUAUACAUCUAAUCAAAUUGCAGUAGCAAUGCGUAUGCGUCUGUAAAGAUUUGAGUGUUUAGGGAUAUAUACUGUAACUUGAAAUAGCCAAAAUACAUAUAAGUGAUUAUUUUUAUGCAAGUCCAAA